UACGUAGGGUGCAAGCGUUAAUCGGAAUUACUGGGCGUAAAGCGCGCGCAGGCGGAUCCUGUAAGUCUGGAGUGAAAUUUCACCGCUCAACGGUGAAGCUGCUUUGGAUACUGCGGAUCUGGAGACCGGUAGAGGCUGGUAGAAUUGCAGGUGUAGCGGUGGAAUGCGUAGAGAUCUGCAAGAAUACCUGUGGCGAAGGCGGCCAGCUGGGCCAGGUCCGACACUGAGGCGCGAAAGCGUGGGGAGCAAACAGG
rnacentral:rRNA from 1 species